GACGAACGCUGGCGGCGUGCUUAACACAUGCAAGUCGAACGGAAAGGCCCUGCUUUUGUGGGGUGCUCGAGUGGCGAACGGGUGAGUAACACGUGAGUAACCUGCCCUUGACUUUGGGAUAACUUCAGGAAACUGGGGCUAAUACCGGAUAGGAGCUCCUGCUGCAUUGUGGGGGUUGGAAAGUUUCGGCGGUUGGGGAUGGACUCGCGGCUUAUCAGCUUGUUGGUGGGGUAGUGGCUUACCAAGGCUUUGACGGGUAGCCGGCCUGAGAGGGUGACCGGCCACAUUGGGACUGAGAGACGGCCCAGACUGCUACGGGAGGCAGCAGUGGGGAAUAUUGCACAAUGGGCGGAAGCCUGAUGCAGCAACGCCGCGUGCGGGAUGACGGCCUUCGGGUUGUAAACCGCUUUCGCCUGUGACGAAGCGUGAGUGACGGUAAUGGGUAAAGAAGCACCGGCUAACUACGUG
rnacentral:rRNA from 1 species